GGAAUAUUGGGCGUAAAGAGCUCGUAGGCGGUUUGUCGCGUCUGCCGUGAAAGUCCGGGGCUCAACUCCGGAUCUGCGGUGGGUACGGGCAGACUAGAGUGAUGUAGGGGAGACUGGAAUUCCUGGUGUAGCGGUGAAAUGCGCAGAUAUCAGGAGGAACACCGAUGGCGAAGGCAGGUCUCUGGGCAUUAACUGACGCUGAGGAGCGAAAGCAUGGGGAGCGAACAGGAUUAGAUACCCCGG
rnacentral:rRNA from 1 species